rnacentral:rRNA from 1 species
UAUUUGGUCGUAGACCCGAAACCAGGUGAUCUACCCUUGGUCAGGUUGAAGUUCAGGUAACACUGAAUGGAGGACCGAACCGACUUACGUUGAAAAGUGAGCGGAUGAACUGAGGGUAGCGGAGAAAUUCCAAUCGAACCUGGAGAUAGCUGGUUCUCUCCGAAAUAGCUUUAGGGCUAGCCUCAAGUGAUGAUUAUUGGAGGUAGAGCACUGUUUGGACGAGGGGCCCCUCUCGGGUUACCGAAUUCAGACAAACUCCGAAUGCCAAUUAAUUUAACUUGGGAGUCAGAACAUGGGUGAUAAGGUCCGUGUUCGAAAGGGAAACAGCCCAGACCACCAGCUAAGGUCCCAAAAUAUAUGUUAAGUGGAAAAGGAUGUGGCGUUGCCCAGACAACUAGGAUGUUGGCUUAGAAGCAGCCAUCAUUUAAAGAGUGCGUAAUAGCUCACUAGUCGAGUGACACUGCGCCGAAAAUGUACCGGGGCUAAACAUAUUACCGAAGCUGUGGAUUGUCCUUUGGACAAUGGUAGGAGAGCGUUCUAAGGGCGUUGAAGCAUGAUCGUAAGGACAUGUGGAGCGCUUAGAAGUGAGAAUGCCGGUGUGAGUAGCGAAAGACGGGUGAGAAUCCCGUCCACCGAUUGACUAAGGUUUCCAGAGGAAGGCUCGUCCGCUCUGGGUUAGUCGGGUCCUAAGCUGAGGCCGACAGGCGUAGGCGAUGGAUAACAGGUUGAUAUUCCUGUACCACCUAUAAUCGUUUUA